rnacentral:lncRNA from 1 species
AGCAGACCAAGGCCAGGAAGAAAUAUAUUAUUUAUGUUCACUAAGUUUUAGAUAGACAGCUUUUCAAAACUUACCCUUCUUCUUUUGCAGUAUUUUGUUCAAAUAGAUGACAGGCUCUGCUGCUCUGUGGUAUUAAGCAGUUAACAUUUAACAAGGAUCAACCCACAAAUCCACAGAUGUUUCUGUGAGCGCUUCAAAGGAAUGUGGAAUUUUCUAAAAUGGGAAGGCCAUAGUAUGUGGCAACCAACAACAGCAAGGCCAUUGAAUCUGAUUCCUUCUCCCUGUAGACUGGAUUCCCUCCAGAACUGCCUGUUAUCCUCAUUAGGACAGAAUUACCACUUCUUCCAACCGGCCACUGGAUCUCCUUUUGGAUGUCAAACACAGGAGAAAAGCAGAGGCCCUGAACUCUGGAAAUGGAUUAUCCAGUGGUACCCACCUUCCCUUGCAGUCCAGGAAUAAAUGUGUGACCCUGGCCUGACAGUGCUAUAUAGAGGUGUUAGAAUGACAGCUUUGGAGGCUGAAGUCUCCUCUUUGCUCAGCAGUGGACAGAAGAUGGGAUAAUCCUGUCUUUGCUUCGUUCAGGUUGGUUUUCAUCUGUCUUCUACAGCUGCUGUUUGUUUUCCAAUCAACCAAAGUUUGCAGUAGGGAUUUCUCAGGACAACUUAAAAAUUAGAUUAAAAGUGGAAGACCACUGGCAUCUUUUACCUUGGAAUCCACUGUCAGUAGCUUUUCUUUCUUGAAUUCAUGGGCUAGUAAUCUAGAGGCAGAGACUAAUUUUCUAAUAAUCUUUAAAAUUAACCUCGUUUACCUGCUUUCUAGCUAAAAAUGCACCUUAUAACGUGCAAAGCCUUGCAGACUGGUUUUGGUGUGAAAGUGUAUUUGAGAAGAGACUGGAAACUAUUUCCACAAGUGAAAAAGCUGAUUUACAUUUAAACAGAUUGUUUCUUCAGAAAGGAAGUUUACCUAGGGUAAAUGCUGGGUGGGAAUGUUCUUUGAAAGGAUGUUAAUUGUACCUUGGUUCAAAGAACUCCUUGAAAUUCCUGUAAUGCAAUUAUGCUAAGUUGGAGGAAGCUAAAGGAUUGUGUAUUGGCAAAAAUGCAGUUAAAAUCCCAGUUGAAGUCAUGUGUCAGAAGUGCUAUUGAUGAU